UACGUAGGGGGCAAGCGUUGUCCGGAAUUAUUGGGCGUAAAGCGCGCGCAGGCGGUUCCUUAAGUCUGAUGUGAAAGCCUGCGGCUCAACCGUGGAGGGUCAUUGGAAACUGGGGAACUUGGGGACAGAAGAGGAGAGUGGAAUUCCACGUGUAGCGGUGAAAUGCGUAGAUAUGUGGAGGAACACCAGUGGCGAAGGCGACUCUCUGGUCUGUUUCUGACGCUGGGGUGCGAAAGCGUGGGUAGCAAACAGG
rnacentral:misc_RNA from 1 species